UAAUUUACUUUCAAAAUUUAUUUGGUUGAAUAUACCUACCCGGAAUCCCUUCUCCCACUCUCGGUCACUAAAUAUCUUUUCCUCAAUGACUCCUGUGUACUUCCAAAAUUUUAUUUUCCUCUUUUUUUUUUUCUUAUUUUCCUUUCUUGAACCAUUACUUGAUGAAACUCACCUCAUCAUCUAACUUGAAUUAAUUACCUCUUGCUCCCAACAACACUGUUGAUCUUAUUGUUGUUUCCCUCGUUUGCUCUUCUUUCUCUUUGCCUUCCUCGCCAUCCAUUGACAGCUUCUCUCUUUCUCUCUUACACCCUAUUUGGAUAAAUUUUAGUGAUGGUUAAUUAAUGUAUGAUAAUGACAGU
rnacentral:lncRNA from 1 species